rnacentral:rRNA from 1 species
UGGCUUAGAAGCAGCCACUCAUUAAAAGAGUGCGUAAUAGCUCACUGGUCGAGUGACUCUGCGCCGAAAAUUUAACGGGGCUAAACUAUACACCGAAGCUUGGGAUACAUCUAAUGUAUGGUAGGAGAGCGUUCUGUAUGGGGAGAAGUCGUAGCGAAAGCGGCGGUGGACUAUACAGAAGUGAGAAUGCCGGAAUAAGUAGCGAGAAUUAAGUGAGAAUCUUAAUGGCCGAAAGUCUAAGGUUUUUGGAGGAAGGUUCGUCCGCUCCAAGUAAGUCGGGAGCUAAGGUCAGGCCGAAAGGCGUAGCCGAUGCACAUACGGUUGAUAUUCCGUAACCAUCUGUAAUUUAAGCAAAGGGACACUUCAAAAGGGUGUGACCCGGGCGUUGGUUGACCCGGGCGUAAGGGACCGAAAUUAGAGUAGGGAAGCACACUUAGCUGAAGGCGAGAAAAGCUUUGCGUAUAGAAGCAGAUGCCCGUACCGCAAACCGACACAGGUGGACAGGAAGAGAAUUCUAAGGCCAGCGGGAGAAGGGUAGUUAAGGAACUCGGCAAAUUGACUCCGUAACUUCGGAAUAAGGAGUGCUCGAAAGAGCCGCAGAGAAUAGGCCCAGGCGACUGUUUAGCAAAAACACAGGUCUCUGCCAAAUCGAAAGAUGAAGUAUAGGGGCUGACACCUGCCCGGUGCCGGAAGGUUAAGAGGAGGAGUGAGAGCUCCGAAUUGAAGCCCCGGUAAACGGCGGCCGUAACUAUAACGGUCCUAAGGUAGCGAAAUUCCUUGUCGGGUAAGUUCCGACCCGCACGAAUGGUGUAACGAUCUGGGCACUGUCUCAACUACCCACCCGGCGAAAUUGUAGUACCGGUGAAGAUGCCGGUUACCUGCGGCAAGACGGAAAGACCCCAUGGAGCUUUACUGUAGCCUGAUAUUGGGUUUCGGAAAUCUAUGUACAGGAUAGGCGGGAGACUGGGAAACAUGAGCGUCAGCUUGUGUGGAGUCGAUGUUGGGAUACCGCCCUUAGGUUUCUGGAAUUCUAACCUGCGGCCGUGAAUCCGGUCGGGGGACAUUGUCAGGUGGGCAGUUUGACUGGGGCGGUCGCCUCCGAAAAGGUAACGGAGGCGCUCAAAGGUUAGCUCAGCACGGACGGAAACCGUGCCUCUGAGUGUAAACGCAAAAGCUAGCCUAACUGCGAGGGUGACGGCCCGAGCAGUAACGAAAGUUGGAGUUAGUGAUCCGGCGGUAUGUGAAUGGAAAUGCCGUCGCUCAACGGAUAAAAGCUACCCUGGGGAUAACAGGCUGAUCUCCCCCAAG